AGUGCUGGCUGGGAGAGCUGCAAGGAGAUGGCAUAUGCUGCCGAUGAAGGUGUUCUCCAGGAAUUUUCAGUUAGAAGUUUUGAUCAUUGUUCAUUUGGCCUCAGGAUGAACAUCAUGAAUAACUGGGAGAUGAAACAGGAAGCUCUAUGACACACUUGAUCGAAUAUGACAGACACCGAAAAUCACGACUCAGCCCCCUCCAGCACCUCUACCUGUUGCCCGCCGAUCACAGCCGGAAUGCAGCUGAAAGAUUCCCUGGGGCCUGGUUCCAACCGCCCACUGUGGACUCUGAGGCCUCUGCAUUUGCGGGUGGUCUGCCUGUGAUAUUUUGGUCAUGGGCUGGUCUGGUCGGUUUCCCAUUUGUCUGGCCAGUCUCUAUGUGUCUUAAUCCCUUGUCCUUCAUUAAAAGCAAAACUAAA
rnacentral:lncRNA from 1 species